GAGUUAACACAAUAAGUAAUCCACCUGAGGAGUACGGCCGCAAGGCUGAAACUCAAAGGAAUUGACGGGGGCCCGCACAAGCAGUGGAGUAUGUGGUUUAAUUCGACGCAACGCGAAGAACCUUACCAGGUCUUGACAUCCGACUAACGAAGUAGAGAUACAUUAGGUGCCCUUCGGGGAAAGUCGAGACAGGUGGUGCAUGGUUGUCGUCAGCUCGUGUCGUGAGAUGUUGGGUUAAGUCCCGCAACGAGCGCAACCCUUGUAAUUAGUUGCUACGCAAGAGCACUCUAAUUAGACUGCCGUUGACAAAACGGAGGAAGGUGGGGACGACGUCAAAUCAUCAUGCCCCUUAUGACCUGGGCUACACACGUACUACAAUGGCCGUCAACAGAGGGAAGCAAGUCCGCGAGGAGGAGCAAACCCCUAAAAACGGUCUCAGUUCAGAUUGCAGGCUGCAACUCGCCUGCAUGAAGAUGGAAUUGCUAGUAAUCGCGGAUCAGCAUGCCGCGGUGAAUACGUUCCCGGGCCUUGUACACACCGCCCGUCACACCAUGGAAGCCGGUAAUACCCGANNNNNNNAGCCUAACCGCAAGGAGGGCGCUGCCGAAGGUAGGAUUGACGACUAGGGUGAAGUCGUAACAAGGUAGCCGUA
rnacentral:rRNA from 1 species